GAGAAAGAGAUGAGAAGAGUUACAAGGGAAAACUAGGAAAACAGAUACUAUAGAAGCUGACUUUUCUAUGAAGUAGGAUGAUUGUUUUGCAACAAAUAUUCCUGGACGCCUACCACGUACCAUGGGCUGUACUGGGAUCUGGGGCCACUGACAUAAACCCACAAAUGAGGACUAGCCUCAGACUGUUCAGCGGAGAAGGAGAAGGAAAAGGAAAUCAGAAAGUAUAAUUAUAUAGCUGAUGGGAGAUAGUGAGUGUGGUCAUGGAUGAGUUGCCUCUGCAACCUCCAGGUCUUGGAAUACAUCACUCUUGGCUCUGCCGGAGCAGCUGACACAUCGCAGUAACGCUUCUCCAAAAGUCAGGGUCUGCUGAUUCCAGCGGGGACAGCAAGGCAAGCCGGGAGCAGCUGAAAUGGUCUCCUCCAACUUCAGAGACUCAGGGCAGGCGGCUGGCUUAGCGGCAGAGGCCCAGCGACUGGGCUGUCAAGUGCAGCGCCCACGAUUCCCAGACCAGAAGGUGGUUUGUGAACUGCAUGCCUCUGGGUGAAAUUUUAUUCACCUGGUGGGGAAACUCGUUUUCUCUCCACAGAAUGCUCUGAGUGGCACGUCGCAUAUGUGUUUUAUUAAUAAAAAUGAGAAAAUGGAAUCAUUAUUACUGCAUAAUUGCAGUUCAUUUGCUAGGCCUAAUCUUUCAAAAGCCCAGGUGCCGGGGGUGGGGCAGGGGGAGAAAAUAAAAGGGGACCUUGAUCUGAACCGCCCAGGGAACCACCUGUGUAGGAGGCUCUCCAGGAAAGACUGAACGGGUAUCUCAGAAGUCCCAGAGCAAGCGGGUGUGGGCAGCAAAACACAACCCUCUCUGAGCUACCAGACUGCAGCACAGCCCUGGCGCCAGCUCCAGGAGUCGGGUGACCUUAACCAAGGCCCUUUCCUCCUGGAGUUCCGUUGUUGUUUUUUUUUUCCCAGGAAAUUAGAGCUCAUAUUCCUGCCCUGCUUGGCUCACAACGUUGUCCUGAGAAUUAAAUGACAAAUGACCUCCAUCAUGGAUUCUUUCCCUCAUUCAUUCAGUCAACAAUCAUCUGCCCAGUUUCCCUCGCCUCCCUGGCCCCUGUGGAAUAGCUGCAGAGGACUGAGAUGGUUUACACCAGCUGUCAGCUCCGGGGACCACUGGCCACUCCCAUCAUGCACUCUGCCCGCGGAGGAAGCUUGGCGCGGUCACUGGAGACCUCAGCGCAAAUCAGUGCAAAUGCCUCCUGAAUCAAGUUUGCAAUCCUGGGAAGUUUAGUAAAAACAAGCCGCUGUCAGUUUGGCUUCUCACAGCUGGAGGGGUCAAGUCAUCAACACAAUAUAAACCCAGGCCAGCAGAACCUUGUCCUGCUCAGGGCGCCAGACGCCCUCUGGGAAGCAAAGGGUUCGAAAAUGUCUUAAACUUUUCCAGUUUGUUUAUUUUCCAGUGUUUAAUGAUAUUGUCCAUGCAAGGAACCGAACCUCAGCUCCUGCUAACAAUUAAAGAGGUUUUCUAGUUGAGGAGAAAAUGUGAUUUCAAGAGACAGAGAAAGAACUUGCACAGGAAGUAAAGCACAUAAUUCCCAUUGAGAACAUGUAUGCAGAAAAGCCAUGAGUUGAGAAGACCCUGAUCAGAUGUGAGCACUGGAGAGAAAGCUGUUGGGGGGACUGAUCCACCCAGGGGGCCUUUUCAGAGCAGGUCACAAAGUCUGCUCCUCUGGUCCCCCUCUGUUGUACCUGGUCACUCCACCACCAGACAGCUUCAAGAUUGUAGUGUCCUCAGACCUCACCAUCCCACAAGUGCACAUGGAUUCCCACCCAUGAAAACGACCAGAUUUUACUGCUGUUCGAUCCUGUCUGCCAUAGGUUCACUCUGUGAUUCAGGGGGCCCCUUGGGAGCACCCCACAUGUGCUUAUCAGCAGGACUGUCAUGGGGAGUAGACCCCAUAUCUCACCAAAGCUUUGUUCCCCCCAACCCUGUUUGCUCUCU